rnacentral:rRNA from 1 species
UACGUAGGGACCGAGCGUUGUCCGGAUUCAUUGGGCGUAAAGAGCUCGUAGGCGGCUGUUCAAGUCGAACGUGAAAACUCGGAGCUCAACUCCGAGCCUGCGUUCGAUACUGGACGGCUAGAGUCUGGUAGGGGGAUCUGGAAUUCCUGGUGUAGCGGUGGAAUGCGCAGAUAUCAGGAGGAACACCGGUGGCGAAGGCGCCACUCUGGGCCGAAACUGACGCUGAGGAGCGAAAGCGUGGGUAGCAAACAGG